CAUUGUCAGAAGUGUCGCUGCUGCUGGAGGUCCUGAGACGCUUCAUCCUGUCACAUCCUGCAGACAAGAUGGACGCCGCGUGAGGCCUUCGGCUCCCUGGCUAUCAUCACUCUCCCAUGAAGAAUUAGCGUGUCAGUGGACCAAAAGUGCUGUUUAAACAUGCCUGGCAUUCCCCAUGAGGGGGUGGACGUGGUCAUUUAAGUUCAUGCUACGCAAACAAACAUCCAUCCAUGUUCUUCAGCACUUAUCCUCACUAUGGUCGCGGGUGAGCUGGAGCCUUUCACAUCUGACCUUCGGUAAUAGUUCUCCAUCGUCAAUCACACUCAAGGCUUCAGUUUUGUAUAAUCCACAGGUGCACAUGAAAUUAUUAAAAAAAAAAAAGUGUCAUUGCAAAACAUUACAAAUACAGCAUAUACAAUUUAUUGGUCAAUAAUCAUUAAUACCCUGAAAUGUGCUUUUGUUGAAAAACUCGUGAUAGGAUGUGGCGUUUAUGACUGGCCGUUACGUCUGCGACGUUGCAACGCUGUUUGCCAGCCAUUCAACAAGAUUAUAUGCUUGUUUCUGGAAUGUGGGAGGGAAGCUGAAGUAAGUGGUGAUGAGAACAUGCAAACUCCACACAACCAGCCUUAAUUGUUCCACAAGCUAUUUUUAAGGGGAAAAGGACAACGAGCAGCAGAGUCCUUGACAACAUCUGCUGUUGACAUGAGGUAUUUCAAGAACAAAAUCGACAAUGUUAAGCUGAUGACAACGUUUAUA